rnacentral:rRNA from 1 species
GACGUAGGAUGCAAGCGUUGUCCGGAUUUAUUGGGCGUAAAGAGUUCGUAGGUGGUUUGUUAAGUCUGAUGUUAAAUACUGGGGCUCAACCCUGGGACUGCAUUGGAUACUGGCAGACUUGAGUGUGGUAGAGGCAAUCGGAAUUCCAGGUGUAGCGGUGAAAUGCGUAGAUAUCUGGAAGAACACCGGUGGCGCAAGCGGAUUGCUGGGCCAUAACUGACACUGAGGAACGAAAGCUAGGGGAGCAAAUGGG